UUUUAAUUUAAUUCCUUUGUAGUAAGAUGACAUACUCUAUAACUUCAAUUUCUUGAAAUUAUAAAAUACAUGUGUAAUAGGUCGAGAUUUAUUUAAUAACCUGAAUAUAAUCUAUCUUUGUGAAUAUUCAAUGUGCACUUGACAAGAAAGUAUAUUCUUCAGUCCUUUGAUCUACUCAUCUACAAAUUUCAACUCAAGGUGGUUAAUAGUAUUGUUCAGAUCCUCUAUAGUUUUUUAAAUUUAGUCGUCAAUAUGAUAGUAUUAAAAGGUUGGGAACUUAAGGAGGUGAUUAAAUUAGGGGGCAGAGCCCUCAUGGAUGGGAUUAGGGCCCCUACGAAAGCACUUUAAGGAUUGGGUUUCUCUCUCCUGCUCUUCUGCUGUGUGAGAACGCAGCAUUUAAAGAAGUAGAGACAGGCACUCAUCAGACAUGAAUCCUACUGGUGCCUUGAUCAUUGAUUUCCCAUCUUGCAGAACUCUGAGGAAAUAAAUUUUUGUUCUUUAUAAAUUACCCAGUCUCAGGUAUUUUCUUAGAGCAACACAAAGACAGCUAUGGUUGUGGAUUUGUCUACUUCUCUAUUACAGUUUUUGCUUCAUAAUCUUGAAGUUACAGCAUUAGAUGUAUGCAUAUUUAAGAUUGAUUUGUCUGCUUCAUGAAUUGGAGCUUUUCUCCUUUAUUUCUGGUACUAGUCCUCAUCUUGUUAUUAAUAUAGUCAAAUCCAGUUUUACUAGUAUUUGCAUAGUAUAUAUUUUAAUCCUGUUAUUUUAACUUAACUAUACCUUUAUGCUUCAGCUUCCUUCUAGAUAACAUAAGGUACUUGUUUUUAAUCUGAUAAUCUCUUGCUCAGAUUACUCAUCAAUUUUUUCCUUAUUCCCAUCUUUCACUUUUUCGCUUUUUUAAAGUCUUUGAAUACUAGUUUCAGUAUGUUUUUACUCAGCAUGGUUUUACUCAUUCUCUCUUUUUUCUUGAUAAUGGAUCAUAUUUUCCAGUGUGUUCACUGAUCUAAUAUGUAUUUUUAUUAGAUUUUGGACAUUAUGAAUGAUAUAUUGUGGGGACUCCAGAUAAUGUUGUCUUUCUUUAAAGAGGGUUGAGUUUUUUUUCAGGAACUAACAAAUUACUUGUGGAACUUUACAAUCUUCCCAAGCUUGAUUUUAUUCUUUUAUACUUUGCAUUUAUUUUGGUUUUUUUUUAGUUCUGAGGUGUAGCUCUUACCAUCAUUGGUCUAGAGUAUAGUGCGUAUCUAUAAAGUUUGGCCUCUCUGGGGUCUGAAUGUCCAAAAUAUUGGGUGACAUCUGUCUUCUGUAGCUGGACCAUAGCUCUAAAAAUAUCCAGCAUCACAAGACUCUUGGUGUUUCCUUUCAGUUUUCAGCCACACAAGAGCUUCUCCUAGCUAUUCUUCCCCCACUGCUGUCUGGUAUAAUUUCCUGCUAUUAUUAGUCACUUCAGCAUCUCUUACCCCAACCUCUUCCAUUCAGCAAAACUACCCUGUCUGCUUUGCCUCCAGCAGCCUAUGCCAGCUGUUAAGUGUCUUUACACAGAAUACCAAGGAAAACAUGGGGCUCAAGUUAUGUUUUCCUUCACUCGAAGCUCGCAGUCCUGUGGUGCCUGUGUCCAAUUCCUGAGAACACUUGUUUCACAUACAUUGUCUCAUGGUGUAUAUAGUAAGACAAGUCUGGUACAGUUACUGUGGCAUAGCCAUAAGCAGAAAUUCCUGCAUCCCUAUUUAAAGUACAUACUAAUUUUCAAAUUAAAUUUUUGGAUUGAAUAUCUAACCCUUUUAUAAAAUGAUCAAGACUCUGAAAGUAUGAAUUUUUCAGGUUCAAGCAAUUAGAAACAGUAAUAACAUUUGAAUUCUCUGACAAGAUGACAGAGUAUUCUCCAAUUUUUACAAUUCUAAAUCCUCUUGCAUCUGACUGAAUGUCUCUAUCUAUCUAUCUAUUUAUCUAUCAUCUAUCUCUAUUCUAUCUAUCUAUCAUCUAUUAUCACUGUGCACCACUUACUGUGCUAGGUAUUAUAAAUAAAGCAAAACACAAAAGUGUGAGUUGUAUGGCUCUCCCAGUUCUUAUAUUCUAAGGGAGAUGUCUUAAUUAGGGUUUUCCUGAAAGCAGAGCAUGGAACAGUCCUGAGUACUAGAUUAUUGAUAAUAUAUUUGGAAAUGUUUUCAGGAAACAGGAAUGAAGGAGAAUGAAGAAUGAGAUGGAAAAGAAGAAAAGGCUAAUAUUAAGAUUGUGGCUAUGGAAUCCAGAAACUUACUUUCUGGCGAAAUCUCCUAGGCCUGCACCUGGAUAACUCUUUUUUCCCAGUACUGGAGAUCAAACCCAAGACCUCAUUCAGAGAUUGUGUUCCAAAGCUUAACCAGGAAGAUGUACCUGCCAAAAUGCCAAGGAACUUUAAUUACUACAUUUAAAAUGAAGAUUCAGAAACAAUAAGAGCAUUAAGACAGAACCUGCAGGAGGAAAGGCUUUCAGUUUUGGGACCAUUGUGCCAUGGAUAUGUAACUGAAAGGAACUUCAGUCUUCCAGCUCCUUCAUCUUUUUCCACAAGUGAAGAAACUGAACAGUAUUAAAUAACUAGAUUAAGUAAUGUUGUUAUUUAAUGUUACAACUAAGACAAUAAAGAUCUGCUUUAUGCAUCCUGCACUCAUGAUCUCUGUGAUUCUGAGGUGUUCCUAGGUCACUGCUCACGGCCUUAUUAGCACUCUACUCCCCCGCCAAACCCAGUACAAUUGCCCCUCCAUUACUUAGAAACUGUGUUGUGCUUUUUGUGUAAUGUCCUCCACUCUUCACAUUCUACUGUCUCCUAUCUCUAAGUUAUUAAGCAUGCCCAUUUAAGAAUAUUCUUGCAUUCUUUCUACCAAACCACACCUAUUUUACUAAAUAUUCUGUUUCAGAUUUGUCACAAACAUACUCCUCCUCACUUUUCCUCACUCUAAUCUUCCCUCUACCUUUCUUAAAUAACAUGUAUCCUUCCCUUAACACAAUUUAAAACUAUUAUUUCACACAUUCAUCAGCUAGGUUUCUUUCUACUACAAUUAAUCAAAAGCCAAAAUAACAGCAACUUAAACCAUUAGAGCAUCUAGUGUUUACCUAAAAAGGACUCUAGAGGUAGAACUGCUCCUGAGAGACAACAAAUCAGAUUAGAUCCAAAACUAUUUUAUGGUUUCUGUUGUGGCAGAAACCAAUCCGAUUUCUGUCAGUCUGGGCUGAGUUAGUAAUUGAAAACACCUAACUGAAGAGGAAGACGUGUGGGCAGAAGCAACCAGCAGGCAGAUCCUGUCAGAACUGGGGAUAAUAGUUACCAACCUAGUCAGAUAAGCUAUUACAAAGACUUUGCAACAACCGGGUCCCCUAGACAUAACAGGGAAUACAUCUGUUUUCCAUGAAAAUCAGGUGGACUACUUUGGGGGUAAAGGGCUGGGACUUUAACUGUUAUUCAUUUAACACACAUCCAAUUACUCUUCCAGCCAGUCUAGCCUUUGGAGUUCAGGAUAUUGACAAUUAAAGACUAUCCUUUUCCUCAAGCUCAUACUCUGGUUGAGAAAGCAGACACAUAAAUAAUUACAGUUCCACAAAAUGUAUAUUCUAAUAGUUGUAUGUAAAACUCUAUGAAAACCACUGCAGACAGCAAUUAAUUCUGCCCAAAAGUGUCAGAGCAGGUGACUUCUAAGAAGGGAGAGAGGCAUUCCAGAGACCCAGAGAACACACUAGAACAUGAAUGUGGUGGCAUGAAAGAACACAUAAUUUUCAGUAAAAAGGAGGAUUAUGUACCUGGAAUGUAAUGAAAACAUGUGUAAGGUUGGGGAUGGGAAGAUGACUCUUAAUAAAAUGGUACAGUUAACAGACUUUCAGAAGCAGAAUAGAAGGUGACUAAGGAAUUGAGAAAAUAAGACAAGGAUGCAAGUGAACAUGAUGAAUCCGAUUAACUGUGGGUAAAGAUAUGGAGAAAGUGAAUUCAAAUGAGAAACUCAAGACUACAGGGGUUGAUACUUCAAGGUAUAUGUUUGGGUAGGUAAUUGACACUGACAAGUCAAUAUGUUUGCCCUUCUUGGACUGGCAGGAAGUGACUUGAACAAGACGUUCAUAGGAGGAACAUAUCUCUUGGUACAGCUCUGCUUAGUCACCCUCCUUCCUUGAGAUUCGGUCUCUGGGAGAAGGAAAUCCCCAUCAUGGAGCAUACAGGGGAGCAUCUCAUGUAUCUACUUCACAUCUCUAAGACCUUUGUUAAAUUGUAAAAGAUUUCACAGCUUGCUCCGUGUGGCUUUUGUGUUUGAGGGCCUGAUCACUGCUUUGGUAAAGGAGCUUAUAGAACUAGAAAUCAAAAUUUUAGUGGUCCUUCUUUUGACAUCUCUUUCUCAUUCUUUCUUUCCUUAUGAUUUGCAGUUUGGGGCCAUCAAGCCCAGAUAAAGCCCAGAUCAAGCCCAGAUCAUAGGUUUUUAUUUUCUGCUAGCAUAUAUAGUAAUGGGAAUCUCCAAGUUGCAAAGAGUGUGAUAUAUAUAAUGAUAUAUAUAUUUUUUUCUGGAGUAAUUAUAAUUUUGAACACUGCAUUUUUAUAUACCAAACUUAUAUACCCAAAUUUCC
ensembl:lncRNA